rnacentral:lncRNA from 1 species
UGAGCCCAAAAGUUCAUUUUUUUCAAUCGACAAAUUAUUUUUUUUCAUAUAUGACCUAGCCAAAAGAACCAUCUAUACACUUCAAGUUAUCUAGUUUUGAAUCUCUCGGACCCAAUGGCAUUCACUAUUUUGCUCAAAUAAUUUUUACAAAUGCAUCACACCAUACAAAUGAUAAAAAUUAAAUCCAAAUGGUAAUCAUCGAGUUUAGGUGCUCACAGCUGC